rnacentral:lncRNA from 1 species
GCCGGUCGGGUGCCGCAGGUCGGGAGGAUCCACUGGAGGGCUUGCACUUACCUCUCUGCUGACCUUGAACAGAUUCCAUAAAAUUCAAAAUGUUGAAUGCGUUUGGGAACUUGAUGCAUAAAAUUUGCAUGACUCCUCACUCCUUUCUGGAUCUGUCAUUGGAUUCAAGCCAACAUGGCUCACACCACAAAGGUUAACGGCUGUGCCUCAGG